CGGCAGGCCAACUACCUACGUCCUGUAAUUGGAUAUGGAAGCGGCCUUGAAAGUGCCACAGUGACGAAGCUGAUUGGGAAACCUUUCAGGUGGAACGAGGUAAACCCCGCGAGUGAGCAACCCAAAUAAUGGUAGGGGCAUCUUCUAGUAGGGAACAGGAACCGAACGAAGGACAAGCUAAGCUUGUAGAUAGAUGAUCACAACCGGAGUACGAGGUUGACCACCGUUUGCAGUACAAUGGUACAGAACAUGGCUUAUCGAG
rnacentral:RNase_P_RNA from 1 species